UUGUCUCGAUAAUUGUUCAGUAGUGAAUAGUUGUAACAGUAAACACAUGAUUAUAAUCACACUAUGCCAAGGUUUUCCCGAACUCUGUCAAAAUAGUCCAUGCGGAUGUGCUGUGUUCUGUCAUGGAUGAGAAUACAGAGUUGCUAAAACAACUUGGAGAAAGAAUUCAAGGCGGCAAGCAAAUGAUAGAAGGUUUGAAGUUACUGGAACAUGUCGAAGGGGUUGACAAGUUUGCCAGAAAAAUUAAUCAGGAAAUCCGAUUUUUAAAAAAAGUACAAUCGACCGGGAAUGUGAAGAAGGAUCAUUUGCAAAGUACAAAUUUAAUCCAUCUUAGCGCCUUGGUAGAUCGUCUACAUGCCUCUAAGAAUCCGGUGAGUGUUAUCAAACCAUUCAAGUUUGAACAGUCUCGACUGGAGGUCGACAUCGUCGAUAACAAUGGAUCAACCUGGGUAAAAGUCAUAGCAAGAAAUGCACGAGCUUUGACGCUAAUAUCUCUUGGCAAUGGGGAAUAUGGACAAAAGUCUGUCCUGCAUCAAGCGGCAGCCUAUCUGAAAUGUGCUGCCCUCCAUCCACACAUGUACAAAAUACCAGAGGUCAUUUUUCAUUUUGCCUAUGGGAUAGAAACCCCAUUAGCUAUCAGAUUGAAACAUCUAGGAGUUUUGGUCGAGGGGGAAAAUAUUUCCUGCUCAGAAGUUCCGUCCCUGGAUAAUUCUUUCUUGAUGGACCAUACACAACAACUUGAUUUCUCAGCUUUAGAUAUGUAUGACUCAGACUGUGAAAAUGAUCAGGGAGAGCUGAAGGAGGUGGCAAUGCUUGACCCAAUUAAUUCGGUGCACACGAACGAAAUAGAGGAGAUCAGAAUUCUCAAUUUGGACGUUUCUACUCUAUUGGCGUAUGUUACGAACAUGGUGAAUGGGCAUACGCAUUUUAAGUAUCGUGAACCUCUGUUGACCAUGCAAGCAGAGUGGGAAAGAAGCCGUCCUGUAAAACCGAUUCUUGAUCAAAUUUUCCAGGGCAAGACAUUAAUCGUCUGCCGCACUGCCUAUGAUAAUUUUACAAACAUAAUUCGUGUUAUUGGAGGCCCUAAUGAAUCUCGGAGAAGUAAGGAAUUCAUGAGGAAGGUGACGAUCGUUCCUGACGAUCCUUGUGACAGGAUUAUGAAGGCGUUACCCCUUGGUGGUAGAAUCAAGGAUCGGUCAAGGCUCGUUUUUGCAACUGGUGAAAAUAUGAAGAGUAUCACUGUGUCGGCUAAUGAAGGGUUCGUCAGAGCAGCCAGGAUGCAGGGAAUUGAAUGCUCAGUUUUUCUACAUGAACCAAGAUCGUUAUCUGAAAUGAAAGAAAUUAAUGCCCAGAGAUUAAAUCUAUCGUGACAUCCCACAUCAACCAGAUUGAUUAAAAUGGGUGCCAAUAAAAACAACUCGCAAUAUUUAUACACAUAUGACCAUUUGCAAGCCUGAAGGUCAGGCACCAUUGCCACAAAAGCACACUGGAAUUUUAAAUUACG
rnacentral:misc_RNA from 1 species